rnacentral:rRNA from 1 species
CCCUUAGAGUUUGAUCCUGGCUCAGAACAAACGCUGGCGGCGUGCCUAAUACAUGCAAGUCGAACGCAGUAGCAAUACUGAGUGGCGCACGGGUGAGUAACACGUGGAUAAUCUCCCAUUGAGUGGGGAAUAACCUUUCGAAAGAAGGGCUAAUACCGCAUAAGACCACAGGAUCUUCGGAUCUAGGGGUCAAAGGGGGGCGUAAGCCUCUCGCUUAAUGAUGAGUCCGCGCCCGAUUAGCUAGUUGGUGAGGUAAUGGCUCACCAAGGCAUUUAUCGGUAGCUGGUCUGAGAGGAUGACCAGUCACACUGGAACUGAGACACGGUCCAGACUCCUACGGGAGGCAGCAGUAGGGAAUAUUGCGCAAUGGACGAAAGUCUGACGCAGCGACGCCGCGUGAGUGAUGAAGGCCUUCGGGUCGUAAAGCUCUGUUGUACGGGAAGAAGAUUGCAUAGCUAAUACCUAUGCAAUUUGACGGUACCGUAUAAGAAAGGACCGGCUAACUUCGUGCCAGCAGCCGCGGUAAGACGAGGGGUCCUAGCGUUGUUCGGAAUCACUGGGCGUAAAGCGUUUGUAGGCGGCUCUAUAAGUCGGGUGUGAAAUCCCACGGCUCAACCGUGGAAGUGCAUUCGAAACUGCAGAGCUUGAAUAUGGAAGAGGAGAGUAGAAUUGCUGGUGUAGUGGUGAAAUACGUAGAUAUCAGCAGAAUACCGGUGGCGAAAGCGACUCUCUGGUCCAAUAUUGACGCUGAGAACGAAAGUGCGGGGAU